UGGAAGUAAUUCAUUUACCAAGUUUCCAAAUAAUGCAUCAAAUGAAAACUCACCCUUGAAGUCAUCUAUAUCCAGAAUCAAUGGGAGGGAGCCAACUGAUGGAGAUUUCGAAACUUUACUAUCACUCUUGAUACUCUCUUUCAUCUCUACGGUGCUUCGACAAGCAAGAAAGAAUGACGGAGAAGAUAGCCAGGGAGUCUGCUUCUUUCUUCUACGCUUUGGUUGGGCAGAUCGAGCUAGGUGAGAGAGAGAGAG
rnacentral:misc_RNA from 1 species